GGUGUUAUAGCAUAAUUGGUAUUGCAAUAGUUUGCAAAAUUUUUAGUAUAGGUUCAAUUCCUAUUAGCGCUU
rnacentral:tRNA from 3 species